rnacentral:lncRNA from 1 species
UUUCCUUUUUCUCCCCAAAGCCCCCUGGUAUAUAGUUGUAUAUUCUUAGUUGUGGGUCCUUCUAGUUGUGGCAUGUGGGACGCUGCCUCAGUGUGGCUUGAAGAGCAGUGCCAUGUCCAUGCCCGGGAUUCGAACCAACAAAACACUGGGCCACCUGCAGCGGAGCACGAGAACUUAACCACUUGGCCACGGGGCCGGCCCCUGGAGUCAAUUUUAAAUUAAAUAUAUUAACUGUAAGUUGGAUAAUUUCACAAUGAUAAUUAUUUGAACACCCUUUUAAAAAAUUUGCCAUAAAGUGACAUUCAAUGUGGAAUCAGAGUGCAUUUUAAUAUGUUUCCUGGGAUUGGGGUGGGGCUUCCAAAAGUAAGUGUGUCAAGGGCCAAAGGUGGUUUUAUUUAAAAAGCCCAUAAACGUCUGAACCAGAUGGACAAGGUCUCAGCCCUCAUGGAACUUCUAGUCCAAGAGCAAGCUGACCUUCUCAACAAAAGCAGGAGACGGUGAAGGGGAUGGGACGGAGUCUUGGGCUAGCCAAGGACCCCUGGCUUCUCACGCAACCCCCUGACUGUCACAGAGAUGAAACCAUCUGCUGUGUCUACCCCACACCCAGCCUAAUGGCUCAGCGCUGGACACCAGGAUUUUGGGAAGCCCAUGUGGGAAAAAAUAGGGUGGAGGUGAUGUAAUCUGUGGUCUCAGGACCAGCCUGGAGCGGGGGUGGGAAAGCGGAGUCGGGGAACAGAGAUAGGGAGGAAAGGGAACAAAUUGUCCCUAAAUGACAUCUCGAGACAUCAGAACAAAAUGUGUUUUUCUCUUUCCUAUUCUCGCCCUUUUUUAAAGGGAAAUAGAGGUCAUUCAUUGAAAGGGACCAUCUGGGGUCUAAGUCACAAGUGUGAAGGUUUUAAGACUGGGAAGUGAGCAAUUCAGCACCUCCCCCUCCUCCCUGUCUGCCUUCCCUCCCCAACUGAAACCGACCGGGGAAGGCAAAGAGGACCUGGGGGAAGUGGUGUGCGAACGCAGUGCAUGAGUGUGUGUGUGCGAACGCACGUGUGGGAGAGCACACACCCUCGCCUAAUACUGUUUCUCUCCCCAGUAGCUGGCAUAGGAUGGCACUGUCACACCCGGUAAAGAUCUAUUCAGUCCAAUUGAACUGAAUGGCACAGUGGAGCCAGAUAAAUGGCUUUGAAUCCCACUUGUGCUCUUUACCAGCUGUGUGGUCUUGAGCAAAUUCACGUCCUUCUCUGAGCUCAGUUCCCUUAUUUGUACAAAGAGCACAAGAAAACCCAGUUUGCAGGGACAUUAUGCAGGUGAAAUGAAGGGAAGUUGGUGAGUAGCUCUGAGCAGGGUCUUUUUUAUUCUUACCCUUUAGCUGUCCCGGAAGGAAAGCAGCCUGCGCAGAGGCCUGUGGUAGAGCAGGAGCAAAUGCACUUGAUUGAGAGGGUGUUGUUGGGGAGGAGGAGAUGGUGGUGGUGCAGGAAAGGCUACGCGCCAGCCUUGAGAGGACUUCCAGCCUCCCUGGUUCGUGCCUGUAGGGAGCCACAGAAAGCUCUGCCUCAGGGGAGGGGCUGGAGCACAAGAGGCAGCUGGGAUCCCUGUGCACCAUCUUCCAUGGCCACUACCUGGGUUCCAAAUAUGUGUCAUUCUCUCCUCCUUCUGCACAUCCCCUCCCACAGCCCAGGGAGGGGCUCCUGGGCCACAGCUCAGCUCCCACCAAGACCACAUCUGGGAGGAGAACAGCAGAGAGUGAGCCCAGAGACAGAGUGUAACUAAGGAUGCAUCCGAGCCUGGGCUUGAACCGACUCUGCGCCCUCCUCGCUGGGUCCUGGAUCCCUUGGAGCCUCAGCUUUCUUCCUGUCAAGUGGGAUGACAGCAGUGACCUCACCUGGUCGUUGUGAUGGUUAAAUGAGGUCAUACCUGUAAAACGCUUAGCACCAUGCCUACCAUAUAGUUGGAGCUCAGUGCACAUUGUUAUAAACUCUUAGAUGAUGAGGGAGAGAGAAGACGAGACCUAAGGAAGACAAAGGGGAGAGAAUAAGGAGGGCUCAGAGGCAGGGGAGAGUGACAUACAGGCAGUCCAGCCUCUUCUGCCUCUCUGGACGGUCCACCUGCAGCCAGGAAAGAAGCCCCUUGGAAGGAGGGAGUGACAGAGGGGCCCAGCCAUUUGGUAAGAGAGGAAGUCAUCUGUGACCCACGUCCCUCCUCUCCUUCCACCUCCCACCCUCCUGGCCCACCUCUCAGGGUGACAGGGCUGUCCACGGUGGCCCAGCGGCAUCCUGGAGGGUUCCAGAGCUGCACCUCCUACAAAGUGGGGGUAGGGGUGGGACGUUCCUGGGAGGUAGGAGGUAGGGGUGCAAGGGUGGGGCCUGGGAUUCCCCAUGGAUCUUGGGGCCCCAGGCACAGCCCCCCUGCUUAGCUAGAGGUCAGAGGCUGCUCCAUUUGAAGUGUGGUCCUGCGUGGCAGAGAGCCAGUGGCACUGGCUGAGAUAGAUUCCCUGCCCCCGCAGGCCAGCUGGUCCUCCCCAGAGGCUGGGCACCUGAGCAGAUCUGCGGGGGGAUCUACAGGCUGUCACUUCUAAAAAUAAGAGCGCAGCAGCCUGGGAGUCAGCCAGGUGUGGCUGCCACCUAGCAUCCCAAACUGGCUGAUAUGCAUGUGCACGCCAGUUUGGGGCCUGCACAGACACACACCAACUGCCUAGCACAGACCCAGGGGACCCACGGCCAGCCCUCCAGAGACACACAAUCAAGUUGACAUGCACACGGCCUUGCUUAGGCCUGACCCUGUUCACGGAUAGGCCCCUUAUCCACACACAGCCUCUCGCCCCACUCCCACUUCCCAGCACACACUGGCACAGACCCAGCAGCGCCUGGCUCCAGAACAUCAGCCUCCUGAGGACAGUGCCCCUGUGGGUUUUGUCCACUGCUGUUUCUUCAAUGCCUGUAACAGUGCCUGGCACAUCCCACGUGCUCAAGAAAUGUUUGCUCUAUAAAUGAAGAUGCACACACACGCACACACAAAUACGCGCGCACAGACGUUUGUUCUAUACUUAAUUACCCCCACCCUUGCCCCAUAUCCCCCCAGUUCUACUGGGCCCCAGAGAGGGCAACGCCAAGAGAUCUGUCCUUCUCUGGCCUGGCCAAUCCCCCACACCCAGAGUCCAAGCCAGGGUAAGGACUUUGGGGGGGUCCCAGGGAAGCAGCAGCUUCGAGCAUCUGUUUGGGAGAAUGUGGGAAUCCCCAUUUUCUACAGAAAAACCCUCCCUGGGGGAGCCACAGCACUGUGCUGGAGUUCUGGGUGGGGGAAGAUCUGUCUGGGCCACAUCCCAGGAAAUCCCCCCACAGGGGUGCGGGGCGUGGGGACAACAUGUGACCUGCCCCAUGGCUGUCCCUGGCCCCCUGCUCUGAGGGAGCUCCCUGUUUUAGGUGCCCCCUCCCCAUCUAGGAGUGCUUGGCUCUAUUCCCACUGGGCCUGGGCCAGGCUUCCCAUGGCCUGCACAUGGCUGCAGCAGAGUGAGGCCUGAGGACGCAGGAUCAGAGCGGGGUGGUCAGAGAGGACUCCCUGGAGGAGAGGAGCCUUGUACGGCAAGACAUUCUGGGAAGAAGGCUGGAAGGGUCAUCUGAGCACCUUUGAUUCCAGGACUAGCAAGGGAGUGCCCUGUCUGUGCCAGGACCUCAUGACACCCACGGGGUGAAGUGGAGGCCGACUGGGCGGGCUGAGCACCAGGGAUGAGGAGGGUGUGCUAUGACCCCGAGAGCCAUCAAGGGUCAUGGCGAGGCCUCUGAUCACAGCCUGCAUCAGAGGACUUGAGAAUGAGGUACCCAAAGGGGCAGGCUGUUGGAGGGGAGGACCAGGGAUGGACAAAUGGAUAGACUAGCAGAUGGACUGAAAGACACUGGAGGAUGGAUGGACAAAUGGGAAGACAGAAAUGAGUGGAUGGCCCCUGGACAUCUCCCUCUCAGUCCCCACAAGGGCCUGAAGACCUAGCUACUCCCAACCCAGACCCUGCCCCUUCACUGCCCGAUUCCCAUCUCCUUCCCAGGCCAGGCUCCCAGGGAAGCCAACACCUGCUUGGCCUGGUGCCCAGAGAUGCACCUUCCAGCCAGGUACAACCCCAGAUGGGGAAUCAUCUUCAGGUGUUCACACCUUAGCAGGUGUGCAUAGGAUGGGGUGCGGGGUAUGGCCAUAUCUAUGGGCUGACACCUCUAAAAAUAGCCCCCCAGGAGCUAGGGAGUGGCCCAAUCAUGGCAGACACGCAUACAGACACACAUACCCCCCCAUAGCUAUUGGUUGAAUCACAAGCCCAUAGACACUGGCUGUCAUGCACAGUUGGGCACCCAUUCACUGACAUCCAAACACCAGGUCCCCAAAUGCCACAGGGACACUGCCAUUGCAUAACUCCAGAAUGAGCCAGUCAUGUGGUCUACAAUAUAGGGGCAACCUGGACCCUCAGAUACACCCCAGCGAUACACUGACCUGCAAAGAUUCACUGCAUAGCUCCUGGCGCCAACCUUGUGGGAUAUUAGAACACCUCUCACUCUCUAGACACUUGAAAUCUCACCUUCAACAGCUCCUUGCAGAUAAAGCCAGACCCAUGGGCCCCUUCCUGAUCUGCCCCUCCAACCCUGCCUCCUGCCCCACCUCCUCACAUUUGCCCUCCCUCCAGUCACAUCUCACAUCGUGGGUGGGCUCCACAUUAUUCCUCCAACUGGGAACCCCUUUCCCACCUCAAUCUGGGACCCCACAUUCUGGUCCUAUCAUUCAAGACAGAUCUCUGUAUGCCUAAAGUUUAAUAGUGUGACACACAAUGGGGCAUCAAUAAGUGUUUGUUGACUGACGAGCUGGAUGAAAUCAUUAGAAAUCUAAGUCAGCUAAGAAUUAAUGCCAGAAGGCUGAUGUGGACUAGCUGCUGUGAAAUUCUAGGCGGAGUAGGGGAGCACCCAUGAGCUGGAGGACUUUGAGCCCCCACAAGCACACAUUCAUUACUACAGCCCCAUGGAAUGAGUCCUGCACCCUCGUACCUUCCACUCUCCGUAGAAAAGCACCAGUGACUAGUCAGCCAGGCCCAGCCCUACAGCGAAGGCAGGGGAGACCAGUAGGCCAUGGAAGGAGCCUGCAGCCAAGGCCGGGGUCUCCCACUUCCAUUUCCUCCACCCACUAACACCUAGAAAGGCCAGGCACUUUUCUAGGCCUUUCUUCAGGGCUGGGGAGUGCCAGGGCAGGCCCUCUGUCAACUCAGCAGGUCCAGGGACUUUGGAUGUGCUGACGCUGGUGGUCCUGCCACGCCCCACAUGGGCCCAGUUGGCCAGAGCUCAACACUGACCUGGGCCUGGGCCUGGCAUUGACUGAUUGAUUGAUAUGGAAUUUCAUUCCUGCAGUAAGGACCAACCACACCUGUGCAGUGUUCACUCUGUGUAAGGUCCACUUCCAAGCACUUCAUUCACAGUUGCUCAUUUAAUCCUUGCAAUGACCUUAUGAGGUAGAUACUAUUCUGAUGCCCAUUUUACAGUUGUGAAAACUGAGACAGAGAGACGGAUGAACCAACUGACCUGAGGUCACAGCAGCUUGGAGCAGGUAGAGCAGUCCGGAUUCAAACCCAGCCUGUCUGGCUCUAGAGCCCGCACUUUAACCACUACACUAUGCUUGGUCUCUUUUUAAACUUAUUUUUAUAAAAGAAAAAGUGAGAUUACUUGGUCCAUGCUGCCUUUGGCAUUAGUGGCAUGGACAUGUGACAUUCCUGGUCAUACACACACACACACACACACACACACACAGAGCUUGCCUCGUUCUGGUGCUGCCAGGCACAUCCCUGUGACCUCCUGGUUCUUCCACGGCUAGGCAUCAGGCCCGUGGGAACACUGUGCUUGUGGCUUUGGGUCCAAGUCUAUUCUGGAACAUACCACCCC